AUAGCAGAGGUGUUGGGAGAGAGACAAAAUAGCAGUGUAAUAAAAUGAAAGGAGCUUAGGAGCACUUACCUAGAGGAUCCUCUUGGAGAGAUUUAUAUAAGCAAGGGCUAGUGCUUGUUGUCAAAGAAGUCAGGCACAUGCAUCGAUCAUUUUUUUUAAUAAAUUGUGUAUGUCUCAAAGAUCAUGUUUGGACCUUUCACCCA
rnacentral:lncRNA from 1 species